GAAAUGCGAUACGUAGUGUGAAUUGCAGAAUUCAGUGAAUCAUCGAAACCUUGAACGCACCUUGCGCCUGCGGUCACCCGCAGGCAUGCCUGUCUGAGUGUCGUUUAUCCUUCUCACAACCAAAUCCCUCUUGCAACGAUUCGUCUUGCACUUGGGGGAGGAGGGAGUGGAAUUGGGCGUUUGCCUGCCCGGCAUGCAAUCGCUUCAAAUGCAGGGGGGACCUGUUGUGGACCGGCAACAACCUCGUGCCUCGCAUCCGGGACGUGUUUGAUCGUACACAGUAUGAAUUUGACCUCCUGGACUUGCAACAAGGGGUACCGAGGACUGUCGGUCCGCAGCAACCCUGAUGGAACGACUCCCCAUCCAACGGAGCCAAGAACACUCACAACUGCGACCUCAG
rnacentral:misc_RNA from 1 species